rnacentral:rRNA from 1 species
CCUACGGGAGGCAGCAGUGAGGAAUUUUGCACAAUGGGCGAAACCCUGAUCCAGCCACGCCGCGUGAAGGAAGAAGGCCUUCGGGUCGUAAACUCCUGUCAAGAGGGACGAAUCCCUAUCGAAUGAAUCCCCCGGCUACUGGACGGUCCCUCUGAAGGAAGCCCCGGCUAACUCCGUGCCAGCACCCGCGGUAAUACGGAGGGGGCAAGCGUUGUUCGAAUUUCUGGGGCGUAAAGGGGGCGUAGGCGGUUUGUAAAGUUGAUGGGGAAUCCCCUCGGUUCACCCGAGGAAUUACCCCCAAAACUGCUCGACUUGAGUCCCGGAGAGGGUGGCGGAAUUCCCAGUGUAGCGGUGAAAUGCGUAGAUAUUGGGAGGAACACCAAUGGCGAAGGCGGUCCCCUGGACGGGUACUGACGCUGAGGUGCAAAAGCGGGGGGAGCAAACAGGAUUAAAUCCCCUGGUAGUCCUGCCUGAAAACGAUGAACACUUGUGGUUGCGCUUAUCGACCCCUGCAACGCCGAUACUAACUGAUUAUGUGUUCCGCCUGGGGAGUAUCGUCGCAUUGCUGAUACUCGGAGGAAUUGACGGAAUCGACCACCU